CAGGCCUAACACAUGCAAGUCGAGCGAAUGGAUUAAGAGCUUGCUCUUAUGAAGUUAGCGGCGGACGGGUGAGUAACACGUGGGUAACCUACCCAUAAGACUGGGAUAACUCCGGGAAACCGGGGCUAAUACCGGAUAAUAUUUUGAACUGCAUAGUUCGAAAUUGAAAGGCGGCUUCGGCUGUCACUUAUGGAUGGACCCGCGUCGCAUUAGCUAGUUGGUGAGGUAACGGCUCACCAAGGCGACGAUGCGUAGCCGACCUGAGAGGGUGAUCGGCCGCACUGGGACUGAGACACGGCCCAGACUCCUACGGGAGGCAGCAGUAGGGAAUCUUCCGCAAUGGACGAAAGUCUGACGGACCAACGCCGCGUGAGUGAUGAAGGCUUUCGGGUCGUAAAACUCUGUUGUUAGGGAAGAACA
rnacentral:rRNA from 1 species